rnacentral:rRNA from 1 species
AGUGAACGCUGGCGGUAGGCCUAACACAUGCAUGUCGAACGGCAGCACAGUAAGAGCUUGCUCUUACGGGUGGCGAGUGGCGGACGGGUGAGGAAUACAUCGGAAUCUACUUUUUCGUGGGGGAUAACGUAGGGAAACUUACGCUAAUACCGCAUACGACCUACGGGUGAAAGCAGGGGAUCUUCGGACCUUGCGCGAUUGAAUGAGCCGAUGUCGGAUUAGCUAGUUGGCGGGGUAAAGGCCCACCAAGGCGACGAUCCGUAGCUGGUCUGAGAGGAUGAUCAGCCACACUGGAACUGAGACACGGUCCAGACUCCUACGGGAGGCAGCAGUGGGGAAUAUUGGACAAAGGGCGCAAGCCUGAUUCAGCCAUACCGCGUGGGUGAAGAAGGCCUUCGGGUUGUAAAGCCCUUUUGUUGGGAAAGAAAAGCAGCAGGUUAAUACCCCGCUGUUCUGACGGUACCCAAAGAAUAAGCACCGGCUAACUUCGUG